ACAGGCAUGCCCAGCAUGGAGAGAUGUGAUGUAAGUGCCAUUGACGGUUGUUAAGAGAGUUUAAUGCGUUUGAGUUUGGCAUAGACCUUGACUUUCUGCUUGCCCUCAGGUGACAACACAGGCAGUUUAUCAUUCUCAGACAUCAAGCUUGUUCUACUCAACCCCUCAGAAGUCAAGUUGAGUGCCGCAGAAGAAGUGGCUUUGCUUUUUAGCCCAUCUUGGCAAUUGUCUGGAAGAGUCAGAUGACAGCAUGAGGCUGGGCAGAGUUCCAGGGGUCAGUUGGGCAAAGCACUGGUGCCAGUGGUUGGAAGGAUGCCUAGCUUCUGCUGACCAUAGUUCUUCCUGGAUGACAACUGGGAAGACAGCCACCCCCUGUUCCAACAGUGAAGGAGAGUCCUCCUGAGGACAUCUAUUCAUCUGCACUGAACACAAUUUCCACGUGACUUCCAAGUACUUUAGACCAAGCAAGCCACCAUUCUUAACUACUGAUAUGAAAUGCAUCCAAACUCACAUAUCGGCAAGGCUGCAGAAGAUUCUCCUAGAUGGCUCAAUGCCUGUGCCGUCUUCAUCGUGUGUGUGUGUGUGUGUGUGUGUGUGUGUGUGUGUGUGUGUGUGUGUGUGUAUGUACACACGUGCCUUCUCCACCUCACCCAUACCUCUACUCAAUGAUUUCCUGUGCCUUUCCCUAGCCACGCCCACCAAACCUUUCCUAUCCCUAAACUAAUGACAGCAUUUAGCUUUUUUUUUUUUUUUUGGUUUCUGUGUUUCACACUAACCAUUCCAAGUGCUGCUGGCCCUCAAAAUCUGUCAUUCUUUUAAGUGGAGACAUAGGUAAGGUGUUGUGAAAGUGGUAGGAGAAAGAAUUAUAAAAUCCCGUCCCAGGAGUGACAGCAGACGAGAGCAAACACCCCCUUAACAAGGACCCCACACUGGUGAUAUUGGCCUCAGUCAAUUUGUGUAGGCACACAGCUCAUGGGCUUCUCCCCUCUUCAAGGUCUUCACACCGUCCCAUUGGGAAGUAACACAGACUGGUGGACCCAUCCAAACCCAGAAGUGGGGAUGAGGAGAAACAGAAAUGUUAAUCACAUUGUUAAUGAGAAUGUAAAUUGAUGUCGUCCACCAUAGGAAAAAAGACUUGUCAGUUAUUAAAAAUUCAAACACAGAAUGAGCCAUAUAAACAACCCAGCAUUUCCACACCUGGGGAUGUUCCCAGGAGAACUGACGACAGGCACUCAAGGACUUACCUGUGAGUGUUUAUAAUAGCAUCCAUUAUAAGAGGCGAAUAGGAAACAACCCAAGAUAUGACUGAAUGUAUGAAAUGUGCUUUGACUCACAAGGGAUUGUUAAAUCUGAAAAGGAACGAAGCGUAAGUACACACUACCACAUGGAUGAACCUUGAAAACAUGCCAGUAAGGUACACUUCAUCCACUUUUACAAGUCUCAGCAGCUCUGCACAGACAGAAGGUAGACGAAUGAUCGCAAGACAGUAGGAGAAAUAGGAAGGGAAGAGACUACGGAGACAAUGGCUUCUCUUAGAAGCGCUGGGAGUGUUCUAGAACCAGACAGAGACAAGAACAGAACAGGACAUCCUGUAGGUACUGGGAACUCUUCUACUAAUACACACUUGAAAAUGAUGAGUGUUAUUUUUAUGAUGAUUUACUUUUUUAAAAGCAUAUUAUAAAAUGGAUGAUUUUUGGAGAGAAAGUCUUACCAUGUAGCCCAGGCUGGUUUGAACUUGCAGCAAUCCUCCUGCCUCAGCCUCCCUAGGGAUGGGACUGCAGCAUAUGGUGCGCCAAUGUCAGCAAAUGGAUUUUAAAGAGGUCAGAGGACAGUUCGUGAACUACAUUCAGAGAGUAGGAGAAAUGUGAGCAAGACCAGGCGGAGAAGCUGAGUGACGAGAGCAUGAUGAGCAAGGCCAGUCGGAGAAGCCGAGUGCCGAGAGCAUGAUGGGAUAAGUUGGUCCUAGUGCAUGAGCCUCCCAACUCACAGACCGAGAGCAUGAUGGGAUAAGUUGGUCCUAGCGCAUGAGCUUCCUAACCCACAGAGGCUGCAUCCUGAAAAAAGAGCAGAUCACCGAAGAGAAAGGUCAGGGCAGAGAGAACAUCUUGUCUUGUGCAUCAGAAUUCAGAGGGCUAGAUCAACGUUAGAACAGCCAAGAGCAUCAAAGGGAACAAUGGGGAGAAGACUCUGCUACGUCAGCCCCUGGGUCUGUCGUAUCCUUGGACUUUAAGAGGACUCAUCCAUUCAAUCCUCUCUGAUGCACAGGUGGGAGGUGCCCACCAAGGCCACAACAGCAACAUGGAACCUCUGCGACUAGAGCCACCUAAUAUCAGGGCUGGGAACUGAACUUGGGUCCUCUGGAAGGGCAGUGCCACUUCUCAGCAUGAUACUGACUCCACGUAAUCGUCCAAGGUGACUCAGCUCUUGCGAGACAAAACAGGAUCCAGACCUUCUGCUUGUACCGGGCUUCAUCUGAGGCUUGGAUGUGGGGACUGUCACUCUGCUCCUCCUGCUCAGCUGGCCUUUAUUGGUCUUCUUCUGUGUUGUGAUUUGAAUCUCGAGAUGUUUCCAGAAGGCUCACAUGCUUAGAGACUUCACUACCAAACACUGCGUGCAUGAGAGGUGGUUAGGUCACGAGGGAUCUAACUUCAUCCAUAGAUUUAACCUGUUGGUGAGUCCGUAGCCGAGUGGACCGGAAGAAGGUGGGAAGAAACAUGCCGCUGGAGAUGGAACUUUGAAAGAUCUAUCACAUGCCUGGCCUCUUCUGUCUCUGCUUCUGGGAUGCCGUGACGUAAAGCAGUUGUCUUUCACUGCACCCUUCUGCCAUGAUGGCUCCACCUCGUCCAAUAGCAAUAGACAGAACCACACCCCUAAACUUUUGAAACUGCACCAAAA